rnacentral:tRNA from 1 species
GGAGAGGUCGCAUAGUGGCCUAGUGCGCUUGCUUGGAAAGCAGGUAAACCUUCACGGGUUUCGAGGGUUCGAAUCCCUCCCUCUCCGCCA